GCCCUGCUCAAUGUCAGCCCUGACUCUGUGCCACGUGCACUCAGCUCUGCCACGGAGGUGCAUGGCUCUGUAGGCGUGGACCGUGAGCUGGGGAGGAAGGUGGUCUUGGAGAGAAGUGCCCCGUGCGGAGCUGAGACCUGUGUGUCAUGGGGUCAUCCUAGAUGUGGCUUAAAUCCACACGGCUGUGGAAGCCCCAGGGUGCACCGAGGGUCUGUGGGGGAGGGCCCAGAAAACAAAAUUAAAUCUUGGGACUCGAAGCUUCCUGGGCCUGUGCCAUGAAGGCCCAUGCUUAGCCGGUCUGGUGCCAGGCUCUGUGA
rnacentral:lncRNA from 1 species